CCUACGGGUGGCAGCAGUGGGGAAUAUUGGGCAAUGGGCGCAAGCCUGACCCAGCAACGCCGCGUGAAGGAAGAAGGCCCUCGGGUUGUAAACCUCUUUUCUCAGGGACGAAGAAAGUGACGGUACCUGAGGAAUAAGUCACGGCUAAAUACGUGCCAGCAGCCGCGGUAAUACGUAGGCGGCAAGCGUUAUCCGGAUUUACUGGGUGUAAAGGGCGUGUAGGCGGGGAGGCAAGUCAGUUGUGAAAACCAGCGGCUCAACCGUUGGUCUGCAUUUGAAACUGGUUUUCUUGAGUACUGGAGAGGCAGACGGAAUUCGUGGUGUAGCGGUGAAAUGCGUAGAUAUUAGGAAGAACACCGGUGGCGAAGGCAGUCUGCUGGACAGCAACUGACGCUGAGGCGCGAAAGCGUGGGGAGCAAACAGGAUUAGAUACCCUUGUAGUC
rnacentral:rRNA from 1 species